ACUGAGACUAGAGUCACAUCUAGCUAAUUGUCGGUAAUCAUGGUGUGCUAUAGUACUCGGAGAGUAACAUCUGACCUUCAUAGUUCAGUCAGACACCAGGUUAGUAACAGAA